AUGAGAAGCGAAACUGCAGAAGCAGUUUCAGACCCAAGCGACCCUCCAAAUAAGCCCCUGGAGAGCCCAGAGGACUGAGCUGACCCCAGGGACUCUUCGGACACCGAAGCUCUGAGCUUUAUCAGCUUCGCGGACACACGACUAAGGCGGCGCAGCUACUUGCGCGCAGAAACACCUAUGCCCGAGGAGCACCAACAUGGCAACCUCGGACACACAAAGUCUCGUACACACCGACACUCAGGCCCAAGCCCCGCCUUGCCCCCCUCCAGCCAUCUGGGCGGCUCCGCUCCCCGAUGCUCCGCCCUGCGCCCGGUCCCCUCCUUCCACUGAGCUCCGGGGAACGCGACUCUUGCGCCCUCUAUCGGCGCUACUAGGCUAACCUCCGGAUCCCUGGGUAGGUAAAGCCGCGCCACCACCAAAAACCCGGAGUGCUGGGAAGACUUCCUUUCUUUUCCGCUCGUUUCCUAGUCCAUUCAGGGGCUGUGUCAAAGUGCACUGCCCUUCCUAAGGCCUAACAUACAAAAGGUGCUUGCACGGAAACGCCCUCUCCUCCCCCACUGCCAAACCGACACUGCCACCUGGGGCUCUACUGCUUCCCACUGAUCCAACCCUUGAGUUCUGCCGUUCUGCCCCAGUCUGGCGGGUCUCUCGUUGUUCAUGGUACUUUCCCCACCUCCAGGCCUUUGCUCAAGCCGUUCAUCUGCCUCUGCCAGAUCCCGUUCAUUCUCCUGGGCUCAGACCAGCUGCUCUACAUCGAAAUGAAUGAAUGAAAAUUUACUGAGUGCCUAUGAUGUGUGGUUAAUAUAAUUUCAGUUACUUUAUUUAAUCUUUGAAGCACCCUUGGAGAUAAAUGUUAUUGCCUCUUCUCUAUGGAUCAUGAAGAAGUGACUGACCUGCGUUAAAGUCAGAACAGUGUAGCUCCUGCUGUGACUCAAAUCCAAAUCUCAGGGGCCUCAAAUACUGUCCUCCCUCCAGACAGCCUUCUUUUUCCUGGGAUCCCUGAUGAAGAAGGGGUUCUCCCUCCUUUGAGUUCCCAGCAGCCUCCUCCUCCUGGUGCGACUUGUGCUCCCUGAGCCCUGCCCUAGGCCCUUUCAGUCUUGGUCAAGCCUGCCCCCUUGCUCCUCCAACCCUCACUGAGCAGCAAGGCCACAGGGAAGGACAUUGUUGGGUCAGUAGCCUAUCUUUACCCAGCGGGCCCCAUUCUUCCCAGUCCCAGACAAGAGGAUUAUGGCUGGGCUGGACAAGACUAGGAGGUCCUGGAGCCAGGAGGCCUUGGUCCAGAUAAGAGGGGCAGGGGGUGUGAGUAGAGCAAGAUGGUGGACACUCAGGGGUUGCUGGCUACCAAAUAAGAAAGGGAGGACUCGGGCAGGAUGCCAGAACUUUCUUGCUGCUCACCUGUCCUCCCGGAUGAGGAGCUCACACUUUACCCUUUGGGUAGCCUGUUGGUGUGUGGGAAAUUUCUGUAGGAAGAAAGCCUUUUAUCUUCCAGUGAGUCACCCCUGAAGGGGUCCUUGGGGCACACCUCUCCUUCUCACAGGGAAAUUGAGGAGCAAAGAAGAGAGCUCUGCCUGGCCUACUGCCUCUCUGCCUGUGCCUGGCUAUGAUCUUGGGUAAAUCUCUGCACUUCCCUUGGCCUCAGCUACCUUAUCUGAAAGGCACUUGGAGAGUCUGCUCUCAGGCUCAAGACAAGAUACAAGGUACAAAGAUGCAUCUGGCAAAGCCACUGAAGCAACAGUGCCCCCUGAUGACCAGAGCGAAAAUCACUUCCCUGAAGACAAAUGGAACCUUUGGAUGUGGUUACUUCAGUUCAAGUAUGGCCAACUGAAUCACCUUAUAGGGAAGGCCACAGAGAGAAAAGCAACGGGGAGCAGAGAAAAGCCAGAAGUCAAACGGAACCCAGAGAAGAAAGGAGCAGACAUCACCA